rnacentral:rRNA from 1 species
AUUGAACGCUGGCGGCAUGCCUUACACAUGCAAGUCGAACGGCAGCACGGGUGCUUGCACCUGGUGGCGAGUGGCGAACGGGUGAGUAAUACAUCGGAACAUGUCCUGUAGUGGGGGAUAGCCCGGCGAAAGCCGGAUUAAUACCGCAUACGAUCUACGGAUGAAAGCGGGGGACCUUCGGGCCUCGCGCUAUAGGGUUGGCCGAUGGCUGAUUAGCUAGUUGGUGGGGUAAAGGCCUACCAAGGCGACGAUCAGUAGCUGGUCUGAGAGGACGACCAGCCACACUGGGACUGAGACACGGCCCAGACUCCUACGGGAGGCAGCAGUGGGGAAUUUGGGACAAUGGGCGAAAGCCUGAUCCAGCAAUGCCGCGUGUGUGAAGAAGGCCUUCGGGUUGUAAAGCACUUUUGUCCGGAAAGAAAUCCUUGGCCCUAAUACGGUCGGGGGAUGACGGUACCGGAAGAAUAAGCACCGGCUAACUACGUG